AUUGAACGCUGGCGGCAGGCUUAACACAUGCAAGUCGAGCGAGCGGCGGACGGGUGUGUAAUGUCUGGGAAACUGCCUGAUGGAGGGGGAUAACUACUGGAAACGGUAUCUAAUACCGCAUACCAUCAGAUGUGCCCAGAGGGGUUUAGCUAGUUGGUGGGGUAAUGGCUAACCUAGGCGACGAUCCCUAGCUGGUCUGAGAGGAUGACCAGCCAAUAUGGGACUGAGACACGUUCCAGACUCCUACGAGAGGCAGCAGUGGGGAAUAUUGCAAAAUGGGGGCAAGCCUGAUGCAGCCAUGCCGGGUGUGUGAAGAAGGCCGUCGGGUUGUAAAGCACUUUCAGCGAUGAGGCGUUACUCGCAGAGGAAGCACCGGCUAACUCCGUGACAGCCGCCGCGGUAAUAC
rnacentral:rRNA from 1 species